rnacentral:autocatalytically_spliced_intron from 1 species
AAGCGCCCAGUACGGAUCCGUACGCUGGGUGCUGUGGAAGGUCGGAGCGGGAAUUAAUCCCGUUCCUCCUAUCCGAU